GAUUGGGGUCUAAUUUCCACCUGAUCUCGGAAGCUAAGCAGGAUCAGGUCUGGUUAGUACUUGAAUGGGAGAUCUCCUGGGAAUACCAAAUGCUGUACGCU
rnacentral:rRNA from 1 species